rnacentral:rRNA from 1 species
UACAGAGGUCCCAAGCGUUGUUCGGAUUCAUUGGGCGUAAAAGGUGCGUAGGCGGCGCGGUAAGUCGGGUGUGAAAUCUCGGAGCUUAACUCCGAAACUGCAUUCGAUACUGCCGUGCUUGAGGACUGGAGAGGAGACUGGAAUUUACGGUGUAGCGGUGAAAUGCGUAGAUAUCGUAAGGAAGACCAGUGGCGAAGGCGGGUCUCUGGACAGUUCCUGACGCUGAGGCACGAAGGCCAGGGGAGCAAACGGG